rnacentral:rRNA from 1 species
UACGUAGGGUGCAGGCGUUAAUCGGAAUUACUGGGCGUAAAGCGUGCGCAGGCGGUUUUGUAAGCCAGAUGUGAAAGCCCCGGGCUUAACCUGGGAAUGGCAUUUGGGACUGCAAGGCUUGAGUGCGGCAGAGGAGACUGGAAUUCCUGGUGUAGCAGUGAAAUGCGUAGAUAUCAGGAGGAAUACCGAUGGCGAAGGCAGGUCUCUGGGCUGACACUGACGCCCAUGCACGAAAGCGUGGGGAGCAAACAGG